UACAGAGGGGGCAAGCGUUGUUCGGAAUUACUGGGCGUAAAGGGCGCGUAGGCGGCCUGUUAAGUCGAACGUGAAAUCCCUGGGCUCAACCCAGGAACUGCGUCCGAUACUGGCAGGCUUGAAUCCGGGAGAGGGAUGUGGAAUUCCAGGUGUAGCGGUGAAAUGCGCAGAUAUCAGGAGGAACACCGGUGGCGAAGGCGGGUCUCUGGGCCGAUACUGACGCUGAGGAGCGAAAGCGUGGGGAGCGAACAGG
rnacentral:rRNA from 1 species